AUUCCAUGAUUGGGACAUUCUAGGAUGUAGUCUUGAAAGCGCUCCCAUGCUUCUGGAACAGAUUCAUCAUUUUGUUGCUGAAAACUUGUAAUCUUCCCACGGAGAGC
rnacentral:snoRNA from 1 species